UGUAUUUCGAUUCGGAUCAAUUCGGCAAUAAUCGGACGCGAUCGGCUUGAAUGCAAGCGUGAGCCGAUCAUUGCCGAAUCGAUCCGAAGCUGGAUCGCUGAAGAGCUCGAACAUUUUCAACUCGUCUUGAAUCAGUUUCAGGAUCUCUGCGAACCAAUCGACGCCGAGUUUUUUCGCGGCGCGAUUUAAAAAUAAGUAUCACGCGAUAUUUCGAGGCCGAGAGAUCUUAUUUAGAGCAUGUUAGAGUUAGCCUAGAAAACGUAAAAUAUUUGUGCUAAAACGUCGUAAUGCGCGUUGUCGUGAAGGUAAACGAACAUUCGUGGGGAAAAGAAGAAAAGAGAAAAUUGGAAGCAUGAAUAUUGUAAUUCGAGAGCUAUUUUCUGAUACCAAUCGUAACUGCAUGCUCUGUGGCGCAGUUUCGUGAAGAAUAAACGUGCAUCGAUUUGGAAUACUGGGAAGGUGUAUAGGAAUUAACUGAUACGUUGAUAUUCAUUGUAUCGAAUUGCGCGUAGAAAUGAGGAUUUGAAAAGUGUUUAUUAAAACGUUUCUGAUAUCAUUGUAACUUUUUCUGAUUUUAUAUAGAAAAGUAAAGUACCAUUUUCUAUCUGCGUUGAAUUGGGAUACAUAGCUAUAAUCGAAGAAACGUACAUAUUAAAGUGAAACGAAAUAUAGGAUUAAAAUUUUAUUGAGCUAUUAUAAAAAAUAAAAGUUACGAUUUAUCAAAUUUCAUUACAUAAUAUUUCUAUUAAUUUUAUGAAUCCUUUUUUAAAAUUUAUUAGUAAUUUAGUAGUUUUAUAGUAAUUGAACUCACCGAAAUUUAAAAAGAAAGAAUCCAAAAAAAUAAUACAGUUGAGAAAUUUAAAUAAGUGAAAAAAGUGUAGAUUUCUCUUUUUAAUUGCCUGUUUAUUAAACCAUAGAUAGGCAUUUAUGGACUUUUCGUGCAACACGAAACGUUAAGUUUUUUUUUUCUCUUGUUCUUCUAUUUCCGACAUGGAUCGUAGAAAAUAAAUACGUGCAAUUCUUAAAACUGCAAUUCUAAAAUCUGUGCGAUACACAAUAUUGAGUUAUUUCAGGAACAUUAUUCCAAAAUCUUUUAAAGAAAAGAUAUACCAUUUUUUAGUCAAUUGAUAUUUUGAAACAAGUUAUUAGGUACUUGUUUAUAAAAUAAAUAUUUAAUUCAGAAAUUCUUAAUCCUUAAUUUGGGCCAAGAAAUUUUUGCACUUUAUUAUAGAGAAAAAAAUAAAUAUAUAUUCAAAAAUUUAAUAAUCUUAAUCAAUAUCACGAUAAUGAAUAAUUGAAAAAUUAAAACUGUGGAAUAUUCUCUUACUUUUGUUAUUAUUAUUAUUAUUAAUAAUAAUUUAUUUCAUCGGUUAUAUUUGUUUUUAUUCAAAAUAUCGUGUAAUUAUUUUCAAUCACGACGACAAAGGCAAUAAUAAAAACACGAGAAAAGAAAGAGACAAAUACACGAUAAAAUAUCAAUAAUUUUACACGCGUAAAUUCCAGCCACUUUCCGUAUGAAAAUUCAAAUAAUGAAUCGCGUCGUUGAAUUUUUCAUCAAGAAUAUCCAUACCAAUAUUUCACAGGAUUUCAUAUUUGCAUUUUUACAAAUUCCACGCCAGCAUGAUCAAGGGGGCGGAAAAACAAUCCAGUUAAAAGGAAUGUUUUUGUACGUACUGCGUGGGCUAAUUCAUGGUACGAGCGAGCACAAAAUAAGACGAAAAUCAAGAAUAACAAAUUUGUGUUGGAGGUUUUGUUUCUGGGAAAGAUGCAUUUGAAUGUCAGUCAAGUGCACGUGCACCUGGUUUAUUCCCAACAGGAUACGACCAGAUAAUUAGUAAAAGAUUAUUCUACAUGGGAAAUAAAGUGAGGGAACGAAUAAAGUAAAUCUAAAAUAAAAUUUUUCCACAUUUAAAGAAUUUGGAAUCUUAUAAAUUAAUAUGUCGAUAAUUGAUUGUUCGAUUGCUCGUGUAAAACCUAUAAUUAAACAUGACAUGUACAAUCAUAUUCCAAUUCAAUAACCAUUUAGAGAUUAUCCGAUUCAAUAUCUAAGUUCAUACGUACUUAAAAAAUUUUCAAAUUUAGUUUCUCGAAGCAAAGGAAAUUUCUUCAACGAAGAUUAGAUCUAAAAUUACAUUUACAUACUUUUUACAUUACACAUAAACGAAUUAUCAUUAUUCCAAAUUAUGCAUAAAUAUUUUUAUUUCCUAUUUUAACUAUUAUUAGAAUCUGACGAUAGCAGACCUGAUAUAUUCGUUGAUCUUAAGGAUUUAUCAAAGGCACGCGACAUGUGCAAACAGGUGUAAUUUACACCGAAAAGAAAAAUCCCCGUUCCGCUCUAUUAAAUUCUAUUCUCCGCGUGUCUCUCAUUAAACUCGUUAAAAUAUGUAACUUGGCUUUGGACAUGGCACGGUGGAUGACCAAUACGGGAAUGAGUUUCCAAUUAAUUCGGAAUUAAAAAACGGGAUCAGAACAAUGUGAAUUAUCAACUUAUCAAUUGAAUAUCGUUUGGUUUAAAAAAGCAUUAUGCAUUUCACGCUUCUGUCUUCAAUCAAUUUUGUAUUAUAUGCUACUAGAUUUAAAGAUUUUUAUACAUAUUUUUAUAUAUCAUUUUGUCAACAUAUUGGUGGGAUACUUGUGAAAGGUUAAGAGGAUAAAAUAAAUAUCCAUCGAAACUAAUUAAAAUGUAAAGAAAUUUGUUAGAUUUUUCUUACUCAGAUGUUUUCCAAUAAUUUGUAAUAUAGAAUAAUAUAAAGAAUUUAAUAAAUUUUGUAAAUGGAAGAAAUUAAGGAUAUCGGAUGAUUUUGUAUGAAUAUAUAAAAUGUUAUUUUAAAAAAAUAAUCUUUAAUCGAAAAUCCAUGUUUCCAAUUUAUUUUAAUACGAAUUACAAUGAUCAUUUUUAAAUAAUAAAAGGUUUCUUAUUACAGAAUAAUUUAAAUAUACUUUAUUACACAUCUUACAUAUCUUUCGCAUAAAAUAGUACAUUUUUCUGAAAUAUCUCUAUAUUAUAUUUCCAUAUUUUUAUUUAACAACUAAUCGCAGCUAAAAAAUUACUCUUGGAAGAUAUAAACAUACUUUUAAAAGCCAGCUUAGCACGAACAAGUUGUAAAGCCACGUUUAGUUUAUUCUAAGCUCACUUUAGCACGAAAUUCAUACAUUUUAUAUCAAUUUCGAUUUUCAUUUCCAAUUAUAAAUUCAACAACUGAUAAAAACCGCGUAUAUUAUAUCUCGACGACUUUCGUGUUUAUUAUUAUUUGAAUAUUAAAAGAAAGUCCAUGAUCCCCUUUUUUAAAUUCAUUCAGGCAAAGUUUCUCGCAAACGUAAAUAAACAGUGUUUCUGUUUACAGUUUUCAGACUUUCUUCGGGUUAAUUUGAAACUUCGUACAAUCUGCGAAAGCAAUCUCACAGGAUUAUUUUUUUUUCUUAUCUCUCGAAGGAUUGAUGAUUAAAAAUUUGACGUAAAAAUAUCUUCUUAAUAAAAAAUAUUAUUGAGCAAAUUUUACAAGAAAUGCAAAAGCUCGAAUUGAACUCGGAAUCGAUGUAAUAUAUAGCAAUAGUUUAUAUUUUUGUACAUUGAAGGGAAAUUUUGAAAUCUGUAUUCGAAAUAAUCGAUGAAACUUUGUUGGAAUUUAAAAAAAAAAAUCUAUGGAAUGAUAUAUUUAUCGUUGAAAUUAAAAUUGAAAUGGACGGAAUUAAUAUUCGAAAUAUUAGAAUUAUUUCAAUAACGCAUUUUUAUUAUUUUAAUGAAAUACAUAUUUUAAUUUUCUGCUGAUGAAUUAUACAAUUAAGAUUGAAAAUAUUUUAUCAAUUUGACAUUUGUAUCGUCUAAUUCUAUCCAUGUAUCUUUUAUUUAUAAUUCAAAAUGGUAUUUAGUAUAAAUAAUAACAUAAUAAGAUUAUGAAAAGGAUAAACAGUAAUAAAAUUUGAAAUUUUAUUCUUAUUAACAAUCUUUCAAAAUUUGAUUUUCUUAAUAAUUCCUACGUUCUUUUCUAUUUUAUGAAAAUAAAAUCAAAUUUUAUUUCCAUAAAAUCUACGAACAAUAAUUCAAAAUAUUUCAUAAAUUUAAUUACAAAAUAAACGAAAAAAAACAAAAAGAUAUUAAUUUUCUAAAUAAAAACUUAGUCAAUUUUAAAAUUUAUAAACUUUUUAUAUUUCAAAUUACUUCUUUUCGUAAUUCCGCAUAACUACGAUCCUCUUCAAUUUUGGCAAUGAAGGAAAACGAUAUCGCGAAAAAUAAUUCUCGCAUAAUUAAACCGACAAUCUCCCAAUAAUUCCCUUUUGAUCGUUCCACGAGCUAUCAAUCUUCCCAUUGUAAUUUCUCUGAGGAGAAAAUGUGGAGAACGAUAAAUAAACGGCAUCGAAACGAGAGGAAUCGUAUUUUCACGAUGCACGCGAUCGAAGGAGGAGAGGGUGUUUUGUCGGACACACGGUGUAUUCUCACGCAAGAGAUGAUUCGAUCCACACUGUUAAAAAAUAAAAAAAGUUCAUGGAUGGCCCAACGCGUUUAAUUUGCGACUUUUGCAUCCGUGAACAAUAAUAUGAAAAACUUUCGUUUCACACGUGAAAUCAUAAUCCUCCAUCGGGAGGAAACGGGUGAAUUUCGAACUUCGCCUAUGGAAAUUCAAAUUUCAAAUGAUAAUUCGCGCGUUCCUCUCAUAGCGCGCAUAACAUGAAUGAAAUUGGCGCCCACACGAGUGUGAAAUUGAUAAUCGCCAGUUUGCGUUGUGAAGUGUUUGAAAUAAUUUCGUGAAUUGAAGAUGGAUUUAAUUUCAUUCACUUUGAUAUUUAUGCUAUGAAUAUUGUCAAUUGUUGCUUCUCCAAAGAAACAAAAUUUGAGAUUUCAAAAUAGCAAAGGUAUUAUAGCAAUUUUUCAUUUUCUUAUACUGUACUGUUUCAUUACUAGAUACUAUGCUCUGUUUAUUAUUUACGUAUUACAAAGUGAGGUUAUGUUUGAAAUAAUUAAAAAAUAUACGUUUAAAAAUACUAAUUAGAAUAAAUAAGUGAAUAAUACUGUUUUUACUUUUCAAAAAAUUAUCUCACAUUUAUUUGUUUCUCGAUUAUAUCUCGUUCCAUCGUAAUAAUUUCGUUUAACGAAUUAUCAAGAUCAUACAAGUGCCGAUAAAGUUUUAUUGCGAUACUAUUUAUAGAGUCCGAUUCCAGGUUUGAUAAGUGUCUCGUCACUAUUGACUGACAAUGAAGCGAAAGCUCUUGGAAACACGGUUUUCUUUCACAGACACCUAACCUCUAUUUUGAAUUCACGAAUGCAAACGAGAUGCUCGCUCGUUUACUGACAAUUUGAGUCGGUCGUUAUCGACAGAGGAUGGAGGUAUUCGUCAAUCGCUCUACGACACACCGAUAUCUCGUCAAAACGAACAGUUAGUGACAAAGAGAUGAAUAGAUGGAUGGAGAGAUGCUUUGCACGAUUCGGUACGAUUUGACCAAUUGAACGCUAUUGAUAGUUUCAUUUGUACUUUGUAUUUUUUGUAUAUUAUCGAUCGUGCUAAAUCAUUAUUUUAAUAUUCUUACAUUUUUAUCUAUAUAUUUCUAUUUAGGGAUGUUUUAAAAUAUUGAAUAAAGUAACAUAAACAAUUAGCGAAGUUUAUUUGUUUCGAUAAUCGUGAAUACUAAAUUUCUUCUCUUUUGUUCAAGGAUAACUAUUGUUUUUUAUUCAUAUGUGAUUUUUAUUAGUUCAAAAUUUAUUUUUUUUUUUUUGAAGAAAGAGAUAAUAGAGCUACUCUCAUAUUUUGACCAAUUAUUUAUAUCAUUAUAAUAAUCAUAAAAAUUUUCACUUUGAAAAAAUUUUUCUUUUUUAAUAUAUCGAAUGUAUUAUAAAGACAUGUAUAUUAAUUCAAAUCUUAUUAACGUAAAUAUAAGAUAUUAACAUUAAAUUAUAUAAUUUUUGAAAAAUAAAUUAUAGAAUUUAUGUAUUUAAAUUAAAGAUUCAAAUGAGAAAUUCUAAAUUCUUCUACUUCGGUGUAGUCGUCAAUGGAGAGGAUUAAAAUUUCAAUUUUCGAUUUUCAACGAUUAAUCUUUCAGAAUUACUCAUUUGGAAGAAGUCUUUGAGCAUCUGUCAAUUAAGGCAUUCGUUUAUUCGAAAUCAAUCACACAAAGUAUUCAGGACAACAAUUUCCCGAUAACAAUUCUAUCGAAAUAGUUUGAAAUAACUUUUCGAGAAUUCGCUGUUUGAAUAUAAGCUUUUUAAACUCAAAAAGAAUUUAAAAUGAUUUAUAUAUCGUUCGAAGCAAAAUUAUCAUUAAUUUUUUUUAAUCAUUUUUGUAAUUUAUUAAUUAAAUUUUACAUUAAAUAAUGUACAAUAUUAAAAGAUAUAGAGAUCUUAUUGAAAUUUUCUCAUAUUUUAAAUUUUUAAAAAAAAUUUGUUAUAAUAUUUGUUUAUUCAAUAUUUGCAAGAUUUAUAAAAUAAAAACAUUAGAAUUUUAAUUAAAGUCACGAAUCAUUAAUAUUCGUGUAAUUUGAUUUAAACUUCGAAAGUAUAAAUUUAGUACUUGUAUAUUAUGGUGAUUCAACAUUGAUUUUCUUCAGUAUUCAAGAGUUAUGAUAAAAUAUAAAUAAGAAAAAUAUGUAAAAUUGCAUGUUAUUGCACGAAACAAAAAAUAAACACCAUAAUUUGAGGUAAAAAUUUAAAAGAUGUAAUUACAAAAUUACUUACCAUAUUUAUUCUUUCCUGUAAUUUGAUAUAAUUGUUAAUUCAUAUUAUAAUUGUAUUAAUCGUUUGAUAUUAAUGUAAAAUAUAUUCUUGAUGCUUUCGUUUUUAUUAUUCAUAUUGUGUUAAUAUCAAACACAGAUAUAUUAUUAUGAGCUUUUACAUUUACAUCAUAAAACAUAUAAUGUGAUCUUUCUACCUUUAUAAUUAUAGCUUGUAAAUAAUAUAAAGAACAUUAUAAGUUUUUCAAAAAUAUAAAAAGAGUUCUUUAUAAAAACUUUAUGAAAGCAGUCUUUAUAAAGUCAAAUCUCCAGUUUUCAAUCCCAUAUUUGUAUUGAAAAAAAAAAAAAGAAAGAAAAAAAAGAGAAAACAAAGAACAAUUUAUCAAAAAGUUACUUGGAACAUUCAAAAACUAUAAAAAUUUAGUACAAAGAA